ACGCACGCUGGCGGCAUGCCUCACCUAUGCAAGUCGAACGAGACCUUCGGGUCUAGUGGCGCACGGGUGCGUAACGCGUGGGAACCUGCCCUUAGGUUCGGAAUAACUCCCCGAAAGGGGUGCUAAUACCGGAUAAUGUCUUCGGACCAAAGAUUUAUCGCCUUUGGAUGGGCCCGCGUUGGAUUAGCUAGUUGGUAGGGUAAAAGCCUACCAAGGCGACGAUCCAUAGCUGGUCUGAGAGGAUGAUCAGCCACACUGGGACUGAGACACGGCCCAGACUCCUACGGGAGGCAGCAGUGGGGAAUAUUGGACAAUGGGCGAAAGCCUGAUCCAGCAAUGCCGCGUGAGUGAUGAAGGCCUUAGGGUUGUAAAGCUCUUUUACCCGGGAUGAUAAUGACAGUACCGGGAGAAUAAGCUCCGGCUAACUCCGUG
rnacentral:rRNA from 1 species